UAGGGAAUCUUCCGCAAUGGGCGAAAGCCUGACGGAGCAACGCCGCGUGAGUGAUGAAGGUCUUCGGAUCGUAAAACUCUGUUAUUAGGGAAGAACAAAUGUGUAAGAACUAUGCACGUCUUGACGGUACCUAAUCAGAAAGCCACGGCUAACUACGUGCCAGCAGCCGCGGUAAUACGUAGGUGGCAAGCGUUAUCCGGAAUUAUUGGGCGUAAAGCGCGCGUAGGCGGUUUUUUAAGUCUGAUGUGAAAGCCCACGGCUCAACCGUGGAGGGUCAUUGGAAACUGGAAAACUUGAGUGCAGAAGAGGAAAGUGGAAUUCCAUGUGUAGCGGUGAAAUGCGCAGAGAUAUGGAGGAACACCAGUGGCGAAGGCGACUUUCUGGUCUGUAACUGACGCUGAUGUGCGAAAGCGUGGGGAUCAAACAGG
rnacentral:rRNA from 1 species